AGUGAACGCUGGCGGUAGGCCUAACACAUGCGAGUCGAACGGCAGCACAGUAAGAGCUUGCUCUUACGGGUGGCGAGUGGCGGACGGGUGAGGAAUACAUCGGAAUCUACUUUUUCGUGGGGGAUAACGUAGGGAAACUUACGCUAAUACCGCAUACGACCUACGGGUGAAAGCAGGGGAUCUUCGGACCUUGCGCGAUUGAAUGAGCCGAUGUCGGAUUAGCUAGUUGGCGGGGUAAAGGCCCACCAAGGCGACGAUCCGUAGCUGGUCUGAGAGGAUGAUCAGCCACACUGGAACUGAGACACGGUCCAGACUCCUACGGGAGGCAGCAGUGGGGAAUAUUGGACAAUGGGCGCAAGCCUGAUCCAGCCAUACCGCGUGGGUGAAGAAGGCCUUCGGGUUGUAAAGCCCUUUUGUUGGGAAAGAAAAGCAGCAGGUUAAGACCCCGCUGUUCUGACGGUACCCAAAGAAUAAGCACCGGCUAACUUCGU
rnacentral:rRNA from 1 species